rnacentral:rRNA from 1 species
UACCAGCUCCUCGAGUGGUCAGGACGUUUAUUGGGCCUAAAGCAUCCGUAGCCGGCCCUGUAGGUCUCAUGUUAAAUCCAAUGGCUCAACCGUUGGCAUGCAUGAGAUACCGCAAGGCUAGGAGGCGGGAGAGGCGGACGGUAUUCCCUGGGUAGGGGUAAAAUCCUUUGAUCCAAGGAGGACCACCAGUGGCGAAGGCGGUCCGCCAGAACGCGCUCGACGGUGAGGGAUGAAAGCUGGGGGAGCGAACCGG